ensembl:snRNA U6 U6 spliceosomal RNA
GUGCUCACUUUGGGAGCAUAUAUACUAAAAUUGGAACAAUACAGAAAUUAGCAUAACCACUGUGAAAAGCUGACAUGCUAAUCCGUGAACUAUUCUAUAUUUUU